rnacentral:sRNA from 1 species
CAGAACUAGAUGUAUAAGCCUGUGUAGAU